GAUAUUUCACAGUUUCGUUACAGAUGAGAUUUUUUCUUGGAUCAUUGAUCAACGUAUUUUUUUUGGUGGUCAAGUCCGUAUCUCAAAUACUUUCAGCAAUCGUCAACUAGAACCUCAGUGGCCGAGUGAUCUAAGUGGUUAACCACUGUAUCGCUAGCCUGUCAAUCCCGGAUUUGGCAGGUGUAUUCAACUCUAAUCUUAUUUGAUUAUGAUUGUCACUGUUACUACAUGUUGUUGAUGAUUCUCUCUAGGCACUCCGGCUUCCUCCACCAAUAAUAACUUACCGUCAC
rnacentral:lncRNA from 1 species